UGUCGUAGUCCGGAUUGGAGUCUGCAACUCGACUCCAUGAAGUCGGAAUCGCUAGUAAUCGUAGAUCAGAAUGCUACGGUGAAUACGUUCCCGGGCCUUGUACACACCGCCCGUCACACCAUGGGAGUGGGUUGCAAAAGAAGUAGGUAGCUUAACCUUCGGGAGGGCGCUUACCACUUUGUGAUUCAUGACUGGGGUGAAGUCGUAACAAGGUAACCGUAGGGGAACCUGCGGUUGGAUCACCUCCUUA
rnacentral:rRNA from 1 species